rnacentral:rRNA from 1 species
CCUACGGGUGGCAGCAGUGAGGAAUAUUGGUCAAUGGGCGCGAGCCUGAACCAGCCAAGUCGCGUGAAGGAUGACUGCCCUACGGGUUGUAAACUUCUUUUAUAAAGGAAUAAAGUGAGGCACGUGUGCCUUUUUGUAUGUACUUUAUGAAUCAGGAUCGGCUAACUCCGUGCCAGCAGCCGCGGUAAUACGGAGGAUCCUAACUUUAUCCGGAUUUAUUGGGUUUAAAGGGAGCGUAGAUGGGUUGUUAAGUCAGUGGUUAAAGUUUGCGGCUCAACCGUAAAAUUGAAAUUGAUACUGGCAGUCGUGAGUACAGUGGAGGUAGGCGGAAUUCGUGGUGUAGCGGUGAAAUGCUUAGA